rnacentral:rRNA from 1 species
UUAGUAACGCGUGGGAACGUGCCCUUCUCUACGGAAUAGCCUCUGGAAACGGAGAGUAAUACCGUAUACGCCCUUUGGGGGAAAGAUUUAUCGGAGAAGGAUCGGCCCGCGUUAGAUUAGGUAGUUGGUGGGGUAACGGCCUACCAAGCCUACGAUCUAUAGCUGGUUUUAGAGGAUGAUCAGCAACACUGGGACUGAGACACGGCCCAGACUCCUACGGUAGGCAGCAGUGGGGAAUCUUAGACAAUGGGGGCAACCCUGAUCUAGCCAUGCCGCGUGAGUGAUGAAGGCCUUAGGGUCGUAAAGCUCUUUCGCCUGUGAUGAUAAUGACAGUAGCAGGUAAAGAAACCCCGGCUAACUCCGUG